UACCAUGCAAGUCGACGGCAGCACGGGGGCAACCCUGGUGGCGAGUGGCGAACGGGUGAGUAAUACAUCGGAACGUGUCCUGUAGUGGGGGAUAGCCCGGCGAAAGCCGGAUUAAUACCGCAUACGCUCUACGGAGGAAAGGGGGGGAUCUUAGGACCUCCCGCUACAGGGGCGGCCGAUGGCAGAUUAGCUAGUUGGUGGGGUAAAGGCCUACCAAGGCGACGAUCUGUAGCUGGUCUGAGAGGACGACCAGCCACACUGGGACUGAGACACGGCCCAGACUCCUACGGGAGGCAGCAGUGGGGAAUUUUGGACAAUGGGGGCAACCCUGAUCCAGCAAUGCCGCGUGUGUGAAGAAGGCCUUCGGGUUGUAAAGCACUUUUGUCCGGAAAGAAAACGCCGUGGUUAAUACCCGUGGCGGAUGACGGUACCGGAAGAAUAAGCACCGGCUAACUACGUGCCAGCAGCCGCGGUAAUACGUAGGGUGCAAGCGUUAAUCGGAAUUACUGGGCGUAAAGCGUGCGCAGGCGGUCCGCUAAGACAGAUGUGAAAUCCCCGGGCUUAACCUGGGAACUGCAUUUGUGACUGGCGGGCUAGAGUAUGGCAGAGGGGGGUAGAAU
rnacentral:rRNA from 1 species